rnacentral:rRNA from 1 species
CGAUAGCGUAUAUUAAAGUUGUUGCAGUUAAAAAGCUCGUAGUUGGAUUUCGGGGUGGCCUGCCUGGUCCACCGCAAGGUGAGUACUGGUCAGCCGCCCUUCCUCUCGAAAGCCCCGACUGCUCUUCAUUGCAGUGGUCGGGUAGUUCGGGACGUUUACUUUGAAAAAAUUAGAGUGUUCAAGGCAGGCCGUCGCCUGAAUACAUUAGCAUGGAAUAAUGGAAGAGGACCUCGGUCCUAUUUUGUUGGUUUCUAGGGCCGAAGUAAUGAUUAAGAGGGACAGUUGGGGGCAUUCGUAUUUAAUUGUCAGAGGUGAAAUUCUUGGAUUUAUGAAAGACGAACUAGUGCGAAAGCAUUUGCCAAGGAUGUUUUCAUUAA